ensembl:lncRNA
AUAGUUCUCCUGGUGGCUCAGGCGGUAAAGUGUCUGUCUAUUAUGCAGGAGACAAGCCACUUCACUUCACGUCAUGCUUUUAGGAAAGGUGAAGAGUGGAGCAGAAGGAUAAUGUUUAGAACCAGAAAGACCCAAUUUCAAAUCCAGUUACUUAUCCUCUAGAUCAUGGGCAAAUUACCUUCUCCAAGACUCAGUUUUCUCACCUAUACAAUUUACCCUACAAGACUGAUGCACGAAUUAGAGUAAAUGUAUGUAAAACAUCCAUCAUUGCAUUUCUCUGAGUUGUUACACAAUGUUAAAUACCUUUCUAAGCUAGUAACU